rnacentral:rRNA from 1 species
GAUAGAUACCCGGGUAGUCCACCCCGUAAACGUUGGGAACUAGUUGUGGGGUCCAUUCCACGGAUUCCGUGACGCAGCUAACGCAUUAAGUUCCCCGCCUGGGGAGUACGGCCGCAAGGCUAAAACUCAAAGGAAUUGACGGGGACCCGCACAAGCGGCGGAGCAUGCGGAUUAAUUCGAUGCAACGCGAAGAACCUUACCAAGGCUUGACAUAUAGAGGAAACGGCUGGAAACAGUCGCCCCGCAAGGUCUCUAUACAGGUGGUGCAUGGUUGUCGUCAGCUCGUGUCGUGAGAUGUUGGGUUAAGUCCCGCAACGAGCGCAACCCUCGUUCUAUGUUGCCAGCACGUAAUGGUGGGAACUCAUGGGAUACUGCCGGGGUCAACUCGGAGGAAGGUGGGGAUGACGUCAAAUCAUCAUGCCCCUUAUGUCUUGGGCUUCACGCAUGCUACAAUGGCCGGUACAAAGGGCUGCAAUACCGUAAGGUGGAGCGAAUCCCAAAAAGCCGGUCCAGUUCGGAUUGAGGUCUGCAACUCGACCUCA